AGUACUGCAUGUACAAAUAUUAUAAUACACCUCAAAUAUAACUACAUCAACUGUGUAUAAAAACUGCAGUUUUGAAUUGGAUCCCACAAAAUUGGAACGUGGAAACAAACUUUUUAGAAUCUUUUUGUUAAAACGAAUUUCUUGUUUCAGGUCGAGGGGCAAAACGGGUAGAAGGGGAACCGAGGCACAACGCAUAUCACAUCCAGUUAACAAAUAAAUCUUCUUAUGUCAUCUAGGUAUAAUGCAGAACAGAGGUAUUGUAUUAUGGUGUUGGUUCCACUUAUUACGGUGGUGCUGGACAACUAUAUUCUAGUCAACCACUUCCUCGUGGUCAGCCAAGGAACUGCCAACGAUGACCUUCUCGGAGCAGAACAAAAGCUAUUCGGAGGCAUGUCAUUUAGUGUUUAUCAGUUAACUGGACUUUGUGAGAGUUUUCUUGCAAAAUGUUUGCCAAGGUGGCGAUCGAAGGUGGACAGCAAGAUCGAAGCUCAACAAGAUAGAAGAUUGUUCGAGGAAGAAGGAGUUCGCCGUUGACUAAAAGGUUUAUCUGAACAGCUAGUUGUCAAGAUGAAGGUGAAGACUCGCCCGGCCAAAUUCAAAAUGGCGAUGCCAAAGAAAACCAUCCACGUGGACCGUUCGCCGACCUUUCUGAGCAAGA